CAAUAGCGUAUAUUAAAGUUGUUGCGGUUAAAAAGCUCGUAGUUGGAUUUCGGGCGGGUGACGGCGGUCCGCCUCUGGUGUGCACUGCCGGCAUCCGCCUUUCUGUCGGGGACGGGCUCCUGGGCUUCAUUGCUUGGGACUCGGGUUCGACGUGGUUACUUUGAGUAAAUUAGAGUGUUCAAAGCAAGCUUACGCUCUGAAUAUAAUAGCAUGGGAUAACACGACAGGACUCUGGCCUAUCGUGUUGGUCUAUAGGACCAGAGUAAUGAUUAAGAGGGACAGUCGGGGGCAUUCGUAUUCCGUUGUCAGAGGUGAAAUUCUUGGAUUUACGGAAGACGAACAUCUGCGAAAGCAUUUGCCAAGGAUGUUUUCAUUGA
rnacentral:rRNA from 1 species